rnacentral:tRNA from 1 species
GGGUCGGUACCAAAGCGGUCAACUGGGGGAGACUGUAAAUCUCCUGGCUUUUGCCUUCGGGGGUUCGAAUCCCUCCCGGCCCA